CCCUUAGAUGUUCUGGGCCGCACGCGCGCUACACUGUUCGACGCAGCGAGUCUUAACCUUGACCGAAAGGUUUGGGUAAUCUUCAGCAAAGUCGAACGUGAUGGGGAUCGAUCAUUGCAAUUAUUGAUCGUGAACGAGGAAUUCCUAGUAAGUGCAAGUCAUCAGCUUGCGCUGAUUACGUCCCUGCCCUUUGUACACACCGCCCGUCGCUACUACCGAUUGAAUGCUCAGGUGAGCCAUUCGGACCUUCAUCAUGCCGGUUUCCGGUUUUGAUGAGGGAAAGUCUUGCGAACCUUAUCAUUUAGAGGAAGGAGAAGUCGUAACA
rnacentral:rRNA from 1 species